AGCGAACGCUGGCGGCAGGCUUAACACAUGCAAGUCGAGCGGGCACUUCGGUGUCAGCGGCAGACGGGUGAGUAACACGUGGGAACGUACCCUUUGGUUCGGAAUAACGCUGGGAAACUAGCGCUAAUACCGGAUACGCCCUUUUGGGGAAAGGCUUGCUGCCGAAGGAUCGGCCUGCGUCUGAUUAGCUAGUUGGUGGGGUAAUGGCAUACCAAGGCGACGAUCAGUAGCUGGUCUGAGAGGAUGCCCAGCCGCACUGGGACUGAGACACGGCCCAGACUCCUACGGGAGGCAGCAGUGGGGAAUAUUGGACAAUGGGGGCAAGCCUAAUAAAGCCAUGCCGCGUGAGUGAUGAAGGCCUUAGGGUUGUAAAGCUCUUUUGUCCGGGACGAUAAUGACGGUACCGGAAGAAUAAGCCCCGGCUAACUUCGUG
rnacentral:rRNA from 1 species